rnacentral:rRNA from 1 species
AUGAGUUGCCUCAGCUAGAACUGCCGGGGGCUUGGGAACCACGAGGCAGUUCGGGAGCUUCGCAGCAUUGUGAAGCAGGAAGGGCCCGGUCUCUUAUUUCUUAUAGAGACCAAAAUUUCAGCCAAGAGAGUGGAGAAUCUACAGAACUCUCUUGGUUUUGCGGGAUGUUUUGCGGUGAGCAGCGUUGGACUCAGUGGGGGACUAGGUUUGUUU